GACGUAGGGCGCGAGCGUUGUCCGGAUUUAUUGGGCGUAAAGAGCUCGUAGGCGGCUUGUCGCGUCGACUGUGAAAACCCGCGGCUCAACUGCGGGCUUGCAGCCGAUACGGGCAGGCUAGAGUUCGGUAGGGGAGACUGGAAUUCCUGGUGUGCGGUGAAAUGCGCAGAUAUCAGGAGGAACACCGGUGGCGAAGGCGGGUCUCUGGGCCG
rnacentral:rRNA from 1 species